rnacentral:siRNA from 1 species
GAAUAUCUGGAAGUUCAGGCCCA